rnacentral:rRNA from 1 species
ACGGGUGAGUAACACGUGGGCAAUCUGCCCUUCACUCUGGGACAAGCCCUGGAAACGGGGUCUAAUACCGGAUAUCACUUCUACAGGCAUCUGUGGGGGUUGAAAGCUCCGGCGGUGAAGGAUGAGCCCGCGGCCUAUCAGCUUGUUGGUGAGGUAAUGGCCCACCAAGGCGACGACGGGUAGCCGGCCUGAGAGGGCGACCGGCCACACUGGGACUGAGACACGGCCCAGACUCCUACGGGAGGCAGCAGUGGGGAAUAUUGCACAAUGGGCGAAAGCCUGAUGCAGCGACGCCGCGUGAGGGAUGACGGCCUUCGGGUUGUAAACCUCUUUCAGCAGGGAAGAAGCGAGAGUGACGGUACCUGCAGAAGAAGCGCCGGCUAACUACGUGCCAGCAGCCGCGGUAAUACGUAGGGCGCAAGCGUUGUCCGGAAUUAUUGGGCGUAAAGAGCUCGUAGGCGGUCUGUCGCGUCGGAUGUGAAAGCCCGGGGCUUAACCCCGGGUCUGCAUUCGAUACGGGCAGACUAGAGUGUGGUAGGGGAGAUCGGAAUUCCUGGUGUAGCGGUGAAAUGCGCAGA